CUUUGAUUCUGGCUCAGGAUGAACGCUAGCGACAGGCUUAACACAUGCAAGUCGAGGGGCAGCGUGGAUGUAGCAAUACAUCUGACGGCGACCGGCGCACGGGUGAGUAACACGUAUGGAACCUGCCCCCGGCCGGGGGAUAAGCGGAAGAAAUUCCGUCUAAUACCGCAUAAUGCAGCGCUGAGGCAUCUCAGUGUUGCCAAAGGAGCGAUCCGGCCGGGGAUGGACAUGCGGCGCAUUAGCUAGUUGGCGGGGUAACGGCCCACCAAGGCGACGAUGCGUAGGGGUUCUGAGAGGAAGGUCCCCCACAUUGGAACUGAGACACGGUCCAAACUCCUACGGGAGGCAGCAGUGAGGAAUAUUGGUCAAUGGGCGGAAGCCUGAACCAGCCAAGUCGCGUGAGGGAAGACGGUCCUAUGGAUUGUAAACCUCUUUUGCAGGGGAGCAAGGCGCCUUACGUGUAAGGCGUUGGAGAGUACCCUGAGAAAAAGCAUCGGCUAACUCCGUGCCAGCAGCCGCGGUAAUACGGAGGAUGCGAGCGUUAUCCGGAUUUAUUGGGUUUAAAGGGUGCGUAGGCGGGCUGGUAAGUCAGCGGUAAAAAUGCGGUGCUCAACGCCGUAGUGCCGUUGAAACUGCCGCUCUUGAGUGAGCGAGAAGUAUGCGGAAUGCGUGGUGUAGCGGUGAAAUGCAUAGAUAUCACGCAGAACUCCGAUUGCGAAGGCAGCAUACCGGCGCUCAACUGACGCUGAGGCACGAAAGCGUGGGGAUCGAACAGGAUUAGAUACCCUGGUAGUCCACGCGGUAAACGAUGAAUGCUAACUGUCCGGUCCGAUUGAGGGCUGAGCGGUAAAGCGAAAGCAUUAAGCAUUCCACCUGGGGAGUACGCCGGCAACGGUGCAACUCAAAUGAAUUGACGGA
rnacentral:rRNA from 1 species